UGUUCAGGGGUAAACCUGUGGUUCCCGAAAGUUCGAACGGGGAGAUUCAAUUGCCUUACCGGUUAUGACCAUUUAACAGUGCUAUAGUAUUAUAUAUGAGACAUUGCAUGCGUGCGGUUUUUCGGAAUCGUAGCUGUUAUGUAGUGCUCCGCUGUUUUAUGUAUUAUGUAUAUAGCCGGAGGCGUGCACUUCUCCCCUUGUAGGACGUCAUGACCUAUUGGGUACUAUAUAUAUAUAAAUGUUGUCUAAGGCCCGCUAUGGAGAUCAUAGUAUCAAAUUUCGGUUUGUGUACAAUGAACUUGUGGUGUCCCGACAUCUACCCGAUAGUAUGUAUAAUGAUGAUGAGUCGCUAAAUUAUUUAGUGAGCGUUUAGACCUGUGACAAAUGCUUGUAUGGUCAUAUUUGUGGAAAUCGUAUUUUACGACGGUUCUACGCAUACAGUAUUGUUAGUCAUGGUGUUCUCAAACAGUUUUUUAUCAUCAGUCAAUGGCGUUUAUGUUUUGGGUAAUUACAGGACCCGUCUUGAAACACGGACCAAGGAGUCUAGCAUGUGCGCGAGUCAUUGGGACUCUGUUAAAACCUAAAGGCGUAAUGAAAGUAAAUAUUCAUUUGUGUUCGACCUGUAACCCAGGUCGAUCACAUUGGAUUAAGGGAAGAUGGGUGACGAAAUUUAUGUUACCCCGCAUUCCCGGGGCGUCGCGUACUUAUUGCAAGUUGCGGCGCACCAAGAGCGUACACGCUGGGACCCGAAAGAUGGUGAACUAUGCCUGGUCAGGAUGAAGUCAGGGGAAACCCUGAUGGAGGUCCGUAGCGAUUCUGACGUGCAAAUCGAUCGUAUGAACUGGGUAUAGGGGCGAAAGACUAAUCGAACCAUC
rnacentral:rRNA from 1 species